UUUUCCCCACUGGUGAUAAGGAACAAACACUCAUAACACAGCAUAAAGUAGGAUGAGGAGGGGACGCGGGUGGUGCUGUGGGUAAAAGCCUCAGUGCCUAGGGCUUGCCGAUCGAAAGGUCGGCGGUUCGAAUCCCCGCGGCGGGGUGCGCUCCCGUUGCUCAGUCCCAGCGCCUGCCAACCUAGCAGUUCGAAAGCACCCCCGGGUGCAAGUAGAUAAAUAGGGACCGCUUACCAGCGGGAAGGUAAACGGCGUUUCCGUGUGCGGCUCUGGCUCGCCAGAUGCAGCUUUGUCACGCUGGCCACGUGACCCGGAAGUGUCUCCGGACAGCGCUGGCCCCCGGCCUCUUAAGUGAGAUGGGCGCACAACCCUAGAGUCUGGCAAGACUGGCCCGUACGGGCAGGGGUACCUUUACCUUUA